rnacentral:misc_RNA from 1 species
UCCGGCUUAUCACCGGCAGUUUCUUCAGAGUGCUCAGCUUAACCUGUUAGCAACAGAAGACGAGGGUUGCGCUCGUUGCGGGACUUAACCCAACAUCUCACGACACGAGCUGACGACAGCCAUGCAGCACCUGUGCUCCUCCCACCCGAAGUGAAGGAACCCUUUUCGGGGUUCCAUAGAGGGCAUGUCGAAUCCUGGUAAGGUUCUUCGCGUUGCCUCGAAUUAAACCACAUGCUCCACCGCUUGUGCGGGCCCCCGUCAAUUCCUUUGAGUUUCAUUCUUGCGAACGUACUCCCCAGGUGGGAUACUUAUCACUUUCGCUUAGCCACUCAGAUUGCUCCGAACAGCUAGUAUCCAUCGUUUACGGCGUGGACUAC